AGCUCUGAGGUGUUUCACACGUUGGAUUGCAAAUCCAAAGUAGCAGACUAAUAUCUGCCGGGGCUU
rnacentral:tRNA from 1 species